UAGGUAACCUGCCUUGUAGCGGGGGGAUAACUAUUGGAAACGAUAGCUAAUACCGCAUAACAAUGGAUGACACAUGUCAUUUAUUUUGAAAAGGGGGCAAUUGCUCCACUACAAGAUGGACCUGCGUUGUAUUAGCUAGUAGGUGAGGUAAUGGCUCACCUAGGCGACGAUACAUAGCCGACCUGAGAGGGUGAUCGGCCACACUGGGACUGAGACACGGCCCAGACUCCUACGGGAGGCAGCAUG
rnacentral:rRNA from 1 species